GACGAAGGGGGCUAGCGUUGUUCGGAAUUACUGGGCGUAAAGCGCGUGUAGGCGGUUGUUCAAGUCAGGUGUGAAAGCCUUGAGCUCAACUCAAGAAAUGCACUUGAUACUGGAUAACUAGAGGACCGGAGAGGAUAGUGGAAUUCCCAGUGUAGUGGUGAAAUACGUAGAGAUUGGGAAGAACACCAGUGGCGAAGGCGGCUAUCUGGGACGGUUUCU
rnacentral:rRNA from 1 species